CGAAUUCGCCCUUCCUACGGGAGGCAGCAGUGGGGAAUAUUGCGCAAUGGGCGGAAGCCUGACGCAGCGACGCCGCGUGGGGGAUGACGGCCUUCGGGUUGUAAACCUCUUUCGACCUUGACGAAGCCUUUCGGGGUGACGGUAGGGGUAGAAGAAGCACCGGCCAACUACGUGCCAGCAGCCGCGGUAAUACGUAGGGUGCGAGCGUUGUCCGGAAUUAUUGGGCGUAAAGAGCUCGUAGGCGGUCUGUCGCGUCGGUCGUGAAAACUUGGGGCUUAACUCUGAGCUUGCGGUCGAUACGGGCAUGACUGGAGUUCGGCAGGGGAGACUGGAAUUCCUGGUGUAGCGGUGAAAUGCGCAGAUAUCAGGAGGAACACCGGUGGCGAAGGCGGGUCUCUGGGCCGAUACUGACGCUGAGGAGCGAAAGCGUGGGGAGCGAACAGGAUUAGAUACCCUGGUAGUCCACGCCGUAAACGGUGGGCGCUAGGUGUGGGGGCCAUUCCACGGUCUCUGUGCCGCAGCUAACGCAUUAAGCGCCCCGCCUGGGGAGUACGGCCGCAAGGCUAAAACUCAAAGGAAUUGACGG
rnacentral:rRNA from 1 species